rnacentral:lncRNA from 1 species
CGCGGAAGCAGCGCGCAUGCUCCGCUGCCUUUUAUGAAUGGGGGCUGGAGGGGAGCGCGGAUGCGGCUCCCGGGGUUUUUUUUUUUUUCCCUUUUUUUUUUUUGAAUGAAGGGCAGCGGCAGCUGCGCAUGCACCGCGCCCCCCGCCCGGGGCUGGAGGACCAUCAUUUUAUCCCUGUUUGGGAAUUUCCAUUACUGCUGGGGAAAGGGACUUCUCCUCCUGAGUGAAGAUUCUGGGACGUGACUUGAAGCAAGGCAAGAGAAGCAAAACCUUUGUGUGAACAUCACAGAUUUUUGUCACCUUGUGCAGAUUCUGCUGAGACUCUGGCAGCAGCAGGAUAUUGAAGGAUUUGAGCUGAGGUGUUUGAGCAGUCACAGCCCCCUGCUCUGACCCCUCAUUUCCAGCGCAGACACGGCUCCCUCAGCCCCACAUUUCCUCCAGGCAUGCACAAAAGCCACACAGGGGUUGGGGUUGCUGUUGUGGGGUAAGAUACCCAAGUUCUGUGCAAGGGGAUGCUCACACCUGAGCUGUCUCUGGAAUCCCUGGCUGUGUGGCCCCUUUUCAGCAGAGAUUCCUGCAGCCCCAGCGUUUGAAGUGGCCGAAUCCCUGCAGGCCGGGGCCAGCAGCUCCGUCUGGCCAGGGCCCAUCGUCCCCUCGGCGCUGAUGUGGUGAG